GGAGUGGAGUCUCUCCUAAGCAGCCCAUCUCUCCUCCCUCCAACACUGUGAUUUCUUUCUACACUGAUGCUAGUUGAUAAUGUCUGUGGUAUGCCUGUGCUUUGUGCUCCCAAAGCUUCAUGUCUUGGGACUUCAGCCCCCAGGGUGGUAAUACUGGGACAGCUGCGGGAACCAAGUGGUCUGAGUCUGUGGUGCAGUUCACCAUCACGGACAACAGAGGGCGCUUUACCCUUAGGAAGGCAGGGCCAGUUCCUGUGCCUCAGCAGCCCCUACGGAGUCUUCCAUCGGGAACUGCGGGGGAAACCAUGCCCUGGUUGCGGAAGGCUCCUGGCUGAUGCUGGAUGGAGAGAAGGAAUAUCUUUGCUGAGACAAGCCGUGAUCCUUCUUGCUGAUGAUCCGGUCGCAGGGGGUGGCUGGAAGAUGCUGUCCUUGACCUGAGCAGCCCACAGCCUCAUCUGUCCCCCAGACAUGCAGGGAUCUGCUUACCAAUAUAGCUUUCCCAAUGUUGAACAUGUUUACAUAUCUUCAACAUUCAGGCUAACGGCACUUGGAAAAUAGGGUUAUCCUGAAGGGGGGGCAUCUUAAUUCACUGUUCAGUCUGAGACAUUGUGAGUCUUCAGCUUUCUGUAUGUAUCUGUAUGUAAGGUCCUUCUGCCAGAGGACACGCCUAUCAUAUGACUGACA
ensembl:processed_transcript B430212C06Rik RIKEN cDNA B430212C06 gene